AUGAAUGAAGCUCUGUGUGCGGAAUACACGGAGGAGGAAGUAAGAAGAGCUCUUUUCAGCAUUGGAGAUCUAAAAGCACCAGGGCCUGAUGGAAUGCCAGCAAAUUUUUUCAAGAGAUUUUGGGAUAUUGUGGGAAGCCAAGUAACAAGAGAGGUGUUGCAUGUUCUGAAUGGUGGAGAUAUGCCAGAAGGUUGGAACAACACGACAAUUGUGCUGAUCCCCAAGACAACAAGAACAGAAAGCGUGAAGGAUUUAAGACCCAUAAGUCUCUGCAACGUCUUAUAUAAAGUGGUAUCAAAGGUAAUUGCAAACAGACUCAAACUUGUCUUACCUGACAUCAUCUCUCCAAAUCAAAGCGCAUUUGUACCAGGCCGAAUGAUUUCCGAUAACAUUUUGCUUGCUUAUGAAUUAACACACUUUAUUAAAAGAAGAAGAUCUGGACCAAAAGGUGUUGCUGCAUUAAAACUGGACAUGAGCAAAGCAUAUGAUAGAGUAGAAUGGAAGUUUCUUGAAGACAUGAUGAUAAAACUAGGAUUUAGAAGGGUCUGGGUCCAGCUGAUAAUGAAGUGCAUAACUAGUGUAAAAUACCAAAUUAAGGUAAACCAGGGCAAAACUGAUGUGAUCGUACCUCAGAGGGGACUACGCCAAGGAGAUCCUUUAUCCCCAUACCUGUUUUUGUUUUGCGCUGAAGGUUUCUCUGCAAUGUUGAAUGAAGCUGAAGCAAAUGGAAGGCUCAGAGGCAUAAGAAUAUGCAGAAAUGCCCUUAGUGUUAGCCACCUCCUCUUUGGGGACGACUCAUUAUUGUUAAUGGAGGCAAGUGAGGGAGCAGCACAAGAGAUAAACAGGAUAUUAAGUACAUAUGAACAGUGCUCACGGCAAAUGAUAAACAAGGACAAAUCAUCAAUAUUCUUUAGCAAAAACACGGAUGAGGGACGGAAAAACAAUAUGAAGAGGAUCAUGGGCAUCAAUGUGGAGGGCUUAACCGGAAAAUACUUAGGCCUUCCUACAUAUAUUGGUAAAGGAAAAGCAAAGAAUUUUAGCUAUAUUCGAGAGAAGGUCUGGAAAAAGAUACAGGGAUGGAAGGAGAAAUUGUUGUCAAAAGCAGGGAAAGAAAUAUUGAUAAAAGCUGCAGCACAGACAAUUCCAGUGUAUGCAAUGGGGUGCUUGGACCCGACCAAGACCUUCUGUGACGACCUGAGUGCUCUCACAGGACGCUAUUGGUGGAGCCAAAUGGACAAGACCAAUAAAAUCCACUGGAUUAGUUGGGAAAAGCUAUCAAAGCCGAAAACAGAUGGAGGUAUUUCCUAUACUUGGCGAAGCAUAAUAAAAGGCAUACAAUUGCUGAAGAAAGGGAUAAUAUGGAGAGUGGGAAACGGGGAAAGGAUCAAAAUAUGGACUGAUCAGUGGAUUCCUAGAGGAAGCACAAGGAGGCCCAAUACACCAAAAGGUAACCAUCUGGUGGACAAAGUAGCUGAUUUGAUCAACCCGAUAACAAACCAAUGGGAUAUGCAGCUCGUACAACAGACCUUCUCGGCUGAGGAUGCAAACCUCAUCAUGCGAAUACCCAUUCAAGAAGAUACAGAAGAGGAAAUCUCAAACUUCAAAUGGAAGAAGUUAUGGGCGAUCCCUCUACCAAACAAAGUACUGCACUUCUUAUGGAGAGUUGCAACGUACAACCUUCCCUUGCGAAUGAAACUUCAUGGAAAAGGACAAGACGAAGGCGGAAGAGAUGAGCAAGCAAGAGGAACAUAA
rnacentral:rRNA from 1 species